GUUUAGCCCAGAUAGUAGCGAAAAGCUUUUUACAAAGAAGUGCCAAUUUUUCUUGACAUAAAAGAGCGCCCAUAGAAGCUCCUUUUAUGGCUUAGAAAAAUGGUGCUUCUUUGUAAAAACUUGCAGCGUAUAGCUGGAUUAGCU
rnacentral:sRNA from 1 species